AUUAACUCCAUUCCACGUUUUAGCUACAGCCUUGACUUCAACGCUACUGCUUCCUCAAAUCCAUUCCACUUUGCUCAUUCAGAGUCCAUAUAAAUGAAACUUAAUUCCGUGUUUUGACUGUUCGCUCCAGCUGCACUCAACCAAGAUGGCGACUGUGAGAAGUGUCUAACGUUCCACUCUCAACUUUUUGACUGCUCCAUCCAGUUUGCGAUGCUGUUCUUGUAGGGUCGCCCCUGGGAAAGACAAACAAGAGCAAGUGGAGUUCUGACGAUGAACUUUGUGGCUCUGACAUGAAGUGAAGUAAAGUACAGUAGAGGCUGUAAGAUGUUCCAACUUAAUUGGCUCUUUCAAGAUGGAGCGACUUGCCGGCCGACUGUCGCAGGAAAUCUCCAGGGAAAAAUAAACGA